rnacentral:misc_RNA from 1 species
AAGUCGUAACAAGGUUUCCGUAGGUGAACCUGCGGAAGGAUCAUUAAAAAUCCAAAAUCCUUUGCCCAAGGCUUCGGUCUUGUGGUAGAGUUUUUAACCAAUUGUGAGCCAAAAACCUUUCAGCUUCGGUAACUGGCUGGUUGGGUGUCAAAACCCGAUCACGCCGUCAGUCUACCGGUAGCACCCAAAUUAAACUGUUUGAAUAAAUUUUGUCUGAUACCAAAUUUUCGAAUGAAAAUUAAAA